rnacentral:rRNA from 1 species
CCAGACUCCUACGGGAGGCAGCAGUGGGGGAUAUUGCACAAUGGGGGGAACCCUGAUGCAGCGACGCCGCGUGGGUGAAGGAGUAUUUCGGUAUGUAAAGCCCUAUCGGCAGGGAAGAAGCAAGACGGUACCUGACUAAGAAGCCCCGGCUAACUACGUGCCAGCAGCCGCGGUAAUACGUAGGGGGCGAGCGUUAUCCGGAUUCACUGGGUGUAAAGGGAGCGUAGACGGCCAUGCAAGCCAGGGGUGAAAGCCCGGGGCCCAACCCCGGGACUGCUUUGGAAACUGUAUGGCUGGAGUGCAGGAGAGGUAAGUGGAAUUCCUAGUGUAGCGGUGAAAUGCGUAGAUAUUAGGAGGAACACCAGUGGCGAAGGCGGCUUACUGGACUGUAACUGACGUUGAGGCUCGAAAGCGUGGGGAGCAAACAGGAUUAGAUACCCUAGUAGC